rnacentral:lncRNA from 1 species
CCAAACCCACCAAUUUUUCGAACUCUUCGUUUCGCCGAACGAAAGUGUCCACUACCCUCCUAGUACCCUAAGGAUGUAGGAACAAGUGUUACCCAAACAAAACGAAUAACGGAUUGCUCAAUCAUUAACCAUUUCGGGCUAGGGUUGAAGAAAACUCACCGAUUGCGAAGGAAGCUCUCUCAAUCUCCAAAUGGGAGCUAGAGUCCUUCCAAUCAAACCUAAACAAAGGUUCUAAACCCAUCAAUUUGGUUCCAAAGCCCUCAAAUCGAAAAUCCCCA